rnacentral:rRNA from 1 species
CAGUAGCCGCGGGAAAACGAAGGGGGCUAGCGUUGCUCGGAAUGACUGGGCGUAAAGGGCGCGUAGGCGGUUUAUACAGUCAGAUGUGAAAUUCCUGGGCUCAACCUGGGGACUGCAUUUGAUACGUAUGGACUUGAGUGGAGAAGAGGGUCGGGGAAUUUCCAGUGUAGAGGUGAAAUUCAUAGAUAUUGGAAAGUACACCGGUGGCGAAGGCGGCGACCUGGUCUUUAACUGACGCUGAGGCGCGAAAGCGUGAGGAGCAAACAGGAUUAGAUACCCCUGUAGUCCCUGUCUCUUAUAC